rnacentral:rRNA from 1 species
CGUAGGGGGCAAGCGUUGUCCGGAUUUAUUGGGCGUAAAGAGCGUGUAGGCGGCUAGGUAGGUCCGUUGUGAAAACUCGAGGCUCAACCUCGAGACGCCGGUGGAAACCAUCUAGCUAGAGUCCGGAAGAGGAGAGUGGAAUUCCUGGUGUAGCGGUGAAAUGCGCAGAUAUCAGGAAGAACACCCGUGGCGAAGGCGGCUCUCUGGUACGUGACUGACGCUGAGACGCGAAAGCGUGGGGAGCGAACAGGAUUAGAUACCCUGGUAGUCCACGCUGUAAACGAUGGGUGCUAAGUGUGGGCGGUGUCGACUCCGUCCGUGCCGAAGCUAACGCAUUAAGCACCCCGCCUGGGGAGUACGGCCGCAAGGCUA